UGGGGAAUUUUGGACAAUGGGCGCAAGCCUGAUCCAGCAAUGCUGCGUGCAGGAUGAAGGCCUUCGGGUUGUAAACUGCUUUUGUACGGAGCGAAAAGGUCUGCCCUAAUACGGUGGGCUCAUGACGGUACCGUAAGAAUAAGCACCGGCUAACUACGUGCCAGCAGCCGCGGUAAUACGUAGGGUGCGAGCGUUAAUCGGAAUUACUGGGCGUAAAGCGUGCGCAGGCGGUUAUAUAAGACAGAGGUGAAAUCCCCGGGCUCAACCUGGGAACUGCCUUUGUGACUGCAUAGCUAGAGUACGGUAGAGGGGGGUGGAAUUCCGCGUGUAGCAGUGAAAUGCGUAGAUAUGCGGAGGAACACCGAUGGCGAAGGCAAUCCCCUGGACCUGUACUGACGCUCAUGCACGAAAGCGUGGGGAGCAAACA
rnacentral:rRNA from 1 species